rnacentral:rRNA from 1 species
UACGUAGGGUGCAGGCGUUAAUCGGAAUUACUGGGCGUAAAGGGCGCGUAGGCGGUCCUGAUCGUCGGAUGUGAAAGGCCUGGGCUCAACCUGGGAAUGGCAUCCGAUACGGCGGGACUGGAGUGUGGGAGAGGUUGGUGGAAUUCCCAGUGUAGAGGUGAAAUUCGUAGAUAUUGGGAAGAACACCGGUGGCGAAGGCGGCCAACUGGACCACAACUGACGCUGAGGCGCGAAAGCGUGGGGAGCAAACAGG